UGAAUACGAGACGCUAAGGCGUCGAAGUAGUGUAUGUCGUACUUCCAAGAAAAGCUUGCACUGUCAUAGAUAAAAAACGCCUGUACCAUAACCGACACAGGUGGGUAGGUAGAGUAUACUAAGGGGCGCGAGAUAACUCUCUCUAAGGAACUCGGCAAAAUAACUCCGUAACUUCGGGAGAAGGAGUGCCUUAUUCGUAAGGUUCAAUAACAAGAUCCAAGCAACUGUUUAUCAAAAACACAGGUCUCCGCUAAGUCGUAAGACGAUGAAUGGGGGCUGACGCCUGCCCAGUGCCAGAAGGUUAAAGAAGUUGGUUAGCAAUUGCGAAGCUGAUGACUGAAGCCCUGGUGAACGGCGGCCGUAACGAUAACGGUCCUAAGGUAGCGAAAUUCCUUGUCGGGUAAGUUCCGACCCGCACGAAAGGCGUAAUGAUUUGGAUACUGUCUCGGAGAGGGGCUCGGUGAAAUAGACUUGUCUGUGAAGAUGCGGACUACCUGCACCAGGACAGAAAGACCCUAUGAAGCUUUACUGUAACUUGAAAUUGAAAUUGGACUUUAUUCGCGCAGCAUAGGUGUGAGGCGUUGAUUAUAAUCUUGCGGGAUUAUUGGAGCCAUCAGUGAGAUACCACUCUUGUAAUGUUAGAUUUCUAACUUUGAAUCAUUAUCUGGUCAAAGAACAGUUUCAGGCGGGCAGUUUGACUGGGGCGGUCGCCUCCUAAACGGUAACGGAGGCGUACAAAGGUUUCCUCUGAACGGUUAGAAAUCGUAUCUAGAGUGUAAAGGCAUAAGGAAGCUUGACUGUGAGACCUACAAGUCGAGCAGGGACGAAAGUCGGUCUUAGUGAUCUGACGGUACUGAGUGGAAAGGCCGUCACUCAACGGAUAAAAGUUACUCUAAGGAUAACAGGCUGAUCUCCCCCAAGAGUUCACAUCGACGGGGAGGUUUGGCACCUCGAUGUCGGCUCAUCGCAUCCUGGGGCGGUAGUACGUCCCAAGGGUUGGGCUGUUCGCCCAUGAAAGCGGUACGCGAGCUGGGUUCAGAACGUCGUGAGACAGUUCGGUCCAUAUCCGGUGUAGGCGUUAGAAUAUUGAGAGGAGCCUUCUUUAGUACGAGAGGACCGAGAAGGACAUACCUCUGGUGUACCAGUUAUCGUGCCAACGGUAAACGCUGGGUAGCUAUGUAUGGAGUGGAUAACCGCUGAAAGCAUCUAAGUGGGAAGCCCACCUCAAGAUAAGUA
rnacentral:rRNA from 1 species